AGCCUGAUGCAGCGACGCCGCGUGAGGGAUGACGGCCUUCGGGUUGUAAACCUCUUUCAGUAGGGAAGAAGCGUAAGUGACGGUACCUGCAGAAGAAGCGCCGGCUAACUACGUGCCAGCAGCCGCGGUAAUACGUAGGGCGCAAGCGUUAUCCGGAAUUAUUGGGCGUAAAGAGCUCGUAGGCGGUUUGUCGCGUCUGCCGUGAAAGUCCGGGGCUCAACUCCGGAUCUGCGGUGGGUACGGGCAGACUAGAGUGAUGUAGGGGAGACUGGAAUUCCUGGUGUAGCGGUGAAAUGCGCAGAUAUCAGGAGGAACACCGAUGGCGAAGGCAGGUCUCUGGGCAUUAACUGACGCUGAGGAGCGAAAGCAUGGGGAGCGAACAGGAUUAGAUACCCUGGUAGUCCAUGCCGUAAACGUUGGGCACUAGGUGUGGGGGACAUUCCACGUUUUCCGCGCCGUAGCUAACGCAUUAAGUGCCCCGCCUGGGGAGUACGGCCGCAAGGCUAAAACUCAAAGGAAUUGACGGGGGCCCGCACAAGCGGCGGAGCAUGCGGAUUAAUUCGAUGCAACGCGAAGAACCUUACCAAGGCUUGACAUGAACCGGAAAGAUCUGGAAACAGGUCCCCCACUUGUGGUCGG
rnacentral:rRNA from 1 species